rnacentral:lncRNA from 1 species
GGAUGUGAGUCCAGAGCCCUGGCUGUCACUGUAACACCGGGUGGCUGAGGCAGGAACUCCCUGGGGGAGCUUUGGCUUGACUCUUUCUGGUGACACUGCACAGACGCCUGAAGAGGGCCACUCAGUUGAGGUCUGGCCACGCCUGCUUUGACCGGGCUGUGAGUGCUGCUGGCAGGGAUGUGCCUGCCUCUGGCUGGCUUUCAUCUCUGUGGGACAGCAAGGACAGGGCCUUUAGACUUCAGGAGGGAGUCCGCGCUCCGUCCUCAGAAGUUCAGUGGCUGGCAGCAAGCCCGGCAGCAGCACUUCCUCUGGACGAGCCUUUCCUGGGAGCGGCCUCUAUGGGAGGGCUGGCCCAUCCCUCCCAGAGCAGGGAAGAGGAGGGACUGGCAGAAACUGGCCGGGACUUCACUAGAGACAGCGGAAAAGAAAAGCCUUUUGUCAGAGAGAAACGGGCGCCCCUCUCCGCUCUGGCCAUGUGGCCUUAGAACAGAGGAUGUGACGGGCCUUUGCCAUCCCAGCCCCCCGGCCAUCAGGAGCAGAGCCUUUGUGACACACCUCAGCUUCUGCAAUAAAUGAGGGCUGAUGAUAAAUCAGGCAGCACAGAGACAAGGAAACUAAGGCCUCCUGGAGUUAACUUACUGGCUCAAGUCACUAAGAGACAGGAAGUAACUUUUUCCCCUCGACAUUUUUCAACAUGAGCCGAAAAUGUCUGGAAUUCAUCUUUCAAAGCCUAACUCAGGUUUGGCCAUCUCUUCAGGCUCACGCCAAAUUGAAGACUGGCCAUCAGCACCGAUGCCAAGGCACCCCACAGUCUACAGAAACGGUCUGAUGUCACCCCUGCAGCGAUUCCAGGACUCUGGUUUCCUGGGUCUGUCAUCCGGAUUGUCCCUGUGGGACUAACAGCCUGGGAAGCAGGGAGGACAACUAUUACCCACAGUGCUUUACCUAUGAGCACCUGUGCCAAUGUUCAUUUAGGAUAAAUUCUAAGAAAAAUUUCUCAGCUGAAGGGAAUGAACAUUUAAAUUUAAUAAAUAUUGCCAAAUCACCUUCUAAUAAUGUACCAAUUUGUACUUCGAGUAAUAAUGAGUUUCCCCUCACCCUCACAAACACAGCUUUCAACAAAUCUUUUGGACACUUUUUGUGAAUGAUGGAAAUUUCAGGUUUAUUUUGCAUUUUAUUUAAUUGGGAAUAAGAGUGAACAU